UCCCGGCUUCGCCUCGUUACUCCGCAACCCCGCCCGAGGUCCUGCUGCUCUGGGCGUUGAGGCCUCUUGGGGGCGCAGGCUUCACCCCUUUUUUUUUUCCUCCAGUCUGGAUCACUUAAAAGCUCCAGAUCAAAUAAUCAUGUGUCCAGCCAGAUGGAAAUUCAGAAAAUCAGGAGCCUCUUAGUGAAAGAUGGUAGUGUGCUAUCCAGCCUGACCCCAAGCUGACCUUCCCACUUGAGGAAGAGGAAAUGAGUUCAAGUGGAACAUACUGACACCCAACUCAGCUGCUCACAUACCCUAAAGUAGAAGGCAUCUCAGCUUGAUACUUCCAUCUGGGCCAGGACUGAGGAUAAACACUGCUGGGAAUCCCCCAAUCACUGGGAUGUGUUGGAAAGUACUACACUCCAGUACAGCCCCAUCCACUCAUUCUCACACCCAAAUCCAGAUAGCUCAGCUGGAUUGGAAAAGUUAAAAAAUAAAAUAUAACAGCAAACAUUUAUAUAGUGCU